rnacentral:sRNA from 1 species
UUUUAGCCCAGAUAAAAGUGAAAAGCUUUUUGAAAUCGUGUUGCAUUUUUUCUUGCAGGAAAAGAGCGACCAGCGGAAGCUCCUUUUCUUGCUUAGAAAAAAGCAAACCCGAUGAGAAAACUUGCAACGAUUAGCUGGAUUAGCU